rnacentral:rRNA from 1 species
UUAAGCGACUAAGCGUACACGGUGGAUGCCCUGGCAGUCAGAGGCGAUGAAGGACGUGCUAAUCUGCGAUAAGCGUCGGUAAGGUGAUAUGAACCGUUAUAACCGGCGAUUUCCGAAUGGGGAAACCCAGUGUGUUUCGACACACUAUCAUUAACUGAAUCCAUAGGUUAAUGAGGCGAACCGGGGGAACUGAAACAUCUAAGUACCCCGAGGAAAAGAAAUCAACCGAGAUUCCCCCAGUAGCGGCGAGCGAACGGGGAGCAGCCCAGAGCCUGAAUCAGUAUGUGUGUUAGUGGAAGCGUCUGGAAAGGCGCGCGAUACAGGGUGACAGCCCCGUACACAAAAAUGCACAUGCUGUGAGCUCGAUGAGUAGGGCGGGACACGUGGUAUCCUGUCUGAAUAUGGGGGGACCAUCCUCCAAGGCUAAAUACUCCUGACUGACCGAUAGUGAACCAGUACCGUGAGGGAAAGGCGAAAAGAACCCCGGCGAGGGGAGUGAAAAAGAACCUGAAACCGUGUACGUACAAGCAGUGGGAGCACGCUUAGGCGUGUGACUGCGUACCUUUUGUAUAAUGGGUCAGCGACUUAUAUUCUGUAGCAAGGUUAACCGAAUAGGGGAGCCGAAGGGAAACCGAGUCUUAACUGGGCGUUAAGUUGCAGGGUAUAGACCCGAAACCCGGUGAUCUAGCCAUGGGCAGGUUGAAGGUUGGGUAACACUAACUGGAGGACCGAACCGACUAAUGUUGAAAAAUUAGCGGAUGACUUGUGGCUGGGGGUGAAAGGCCAAUCAAACCGGGAGAUAGCUGGUUCUCCCCGAAAGCUAUUUAGGUAGCGCCUCGUGAAUUCAUCUCCGGGGGUAGAGCACUGUUUCGGCAAGGGGGUCAUCCCGACUUACCAACCCGAUGCAAACUGCGAAUACCGGAGAAUGUUAUCACGGGAGACACACGGCGGGUGCUAACGUCCGUCGUGAAGAGGGAAACAACCCAGACCGCCAGCUAAGGUCCCAAAGUCAUGGUUAAGUGGGAAACGAUGUGGGAAGGCCCAGACAGCCAGGAUGUUGGCUUAGAAGCAGCCAUCAUUUAAAGAAAGCGUAAUAGCUCACUGGUCGAGUCGGCCUGCGCGGAAGAUGUAACGGGGCUAAACCAUGCACCGAAGCUGCGGCAGCGACGCUGAUGCGUUGUUGGGUAGGGGAGCGUUCUGUAAGCCUGUGAAGGUGUGCUGUGAGGCAUGCUGGAGGUAUCAGAAGUGCGAAUGCUGACAUAAGUAACGAUAAAGCGGGUGAAAAGCCCGCUCGCCGGAAGACCAAGGGUUCCUGUCCAACGUUAAUCGGGGCAGGGUGAGUCGACCCCUAAGGCGAGGCCGAAAGGCGUAGUCGAUGGGAAACAGGUUAAUAUUCCUGUACUUGGUGUUACUGCGAAGGGGGGACGGAGAAGGCUAUGUUGGCCGGGCGACGGUUGUCCCGGUUUAAGCGUGUAGGCUGGUUUUCCAGGCAAAUCCGGAAAAUCAAGGCUGAGGCGUGAUGACGAGGCACUACGGUGCUGAAGCAACAAAUGCCCUGCUUCCAGGAAAAGCCUCUAAGCAUCAGGUAACAUCAAAUCGUACCCCAAACCGACACAGGUGGUCAGGUAGAGAAUACCAAGGCGCUUGAGAGAACUCGGGUGAAGGAACUAGGCAAAAUGGUGCCGUAACUUCGGGAGAAGGCACGCUGAUAUGUAGGUGAAGUCCCUCGCGGAUGGAGCUGAAAUCAGUCGAAGAUACCAGCUGGCUGCAACUGUUUAUUAAAAACACAGCACUGUGCAAACACGAAAGUGGACGUAUACGGUGUGACGCCUGCCCGGUGCCGGAAGGUUAAUUGAUGGGGUCAGCGCAAGCGAAGCUCUUGAUCGAAGCCCCGGUAAACGGCGGCCGUAACUAUAACGGUCCUAAGGUAGCGAAAUUCCUUGUCGGGUAAGUUCCGACCUGCACGAAUGGCGUAAUGAUGGCCAGGCUGUCUCCACCCGAGACUCAGUGAAAUUGAACUCGCUGUGAAGAUGCAGUGUACCCGCGGCAAGACGGAAAGACCCCGUGAACCUUUACUAUAGCUUGACACUGAACAUUGAGCCUUGAUGUGUAGGAUAGGUGGGAGGCUUUGAAGUGUGGACGCCAGUCUGCAUGGAGCCGACCUUGAAAUACCACCCUUUAAUGUUUGAUGUUCUAACGUUGACCCGUAAUCCGGGUUGCGGACAGUGUCUGGUGGGUAGUUUGACUGGGGCGGUCUCCUCCUAAAGAGUAACGGAGGAGCACGAAGGUUGGCUAAUCCUGGUCGGACAUCAGGAGGUUAGUGCAAUGGCAUAAGCCAGCUUGACUGCGAGCGUGACGGCGCGAGCAGGUGCGAAAGCAGGUCAUAGUGAUCCGGUGGUUCUGAAUGGAAGGGCCAUCGCUCAACGGAUAAAAGGUACUCCGGGGAUAACAGGCUGAUACCGCCCAAGAGUUCAUAUCGACGGCGGUGUUUGGCACCUCGAUGUCGGCUCAUCACAUCCUGGGGCUGAAGUAGGUCCCAAGGGUAUGGCUGUUCGCCAUUUAAAGUGGUACGCGAGCUGGGUUUAGAACGUCGUGAGACAGUUCGGUCCCUAUCUGCCGUGGGCGCUGGAGAAUUGAGGGGGGCUGCUCCUAGUACGAGAGGACCGGAGUGGACGCAUCACUGGUGUUCGGGUUGUCAUGCCAAUGGCACUGCCCGGUAGCUAAAUGCGGAAGAGAUAAGUGCUGAAAGCAUCUAAGCACGAAACUUGCCCCGAGAUGAGUUCUCCCUGACUCCUUGAGAGUCCUGAAGGAACGUUGAAGACGACGACGUUGAUAGGCCGGGUGUGUAAGCGCAGCGAUGCGUUGAGCUAACCGGUACUAAUGAACCGUGAGGCUUAACCUU